CACUUCUGUCUGUGCUUACUUUGUUACUGUAGUAUUUUUAUGUAAAGAUUGUUAGAGAAUUCGUGCUCAAAUAACAUCGUUUUAUUAACAAUACCUAACGACAAUACAAAAAUGUUAAUGUUACUAAAUUAACCUUUCUUUGUAUUUUUGGUAGAUGGAUUGAGUUAGGUUAUACUGCUAAAUAAAAUAUAAUUUAAUGUUGUUUUGACAGAUCUACUCAUCUUGAAAAUUACUCACUCAAUUCAAAGCUUAGUAGAUAUUAUUUGUAAAAAAAUAUAUUUAAUCAAUGGUGUAUUAAGAAAACGUAGAAUAUUAUGUGGUAGACUGAACUAGUAUCCAGAUUUGUGAAAGUGACAGUGCUGUGUUCUAAAACAAAAUCCAAAUUAUUUAUUACAUUUUUAACAUCGCUUAUCGCAUUUUUUAAACGUGUGGUGUGAUAGUAUAAGUUUGAAUUUGGAAUAUUCGGCGAAUAUUUGCAGAUAAUACGAUACGCUGAGAUGAGCGGCAGACAUGUAAAAUUAACUGUGACAUAAUGCUCAAAUAUAGAAGACUGCCUUGAGGCCUAAUUUUAUUUAUUAAUAUGGUGAGUAUAGAAUAAUUGUAUGA